UACAGAGGUCUCAAGCGUUGUUCGGAUUCAUUGGGCGUAAAGGGCGCGUAGGCGGCCUUCUAAGUCGGACGUGAAAUCCCUCGGCUCAACCGAGGAACUGCGUCUGAUACUGGAAGGCUUGAAUCCGGGAGAGGGAUGUGGAAUUCCAGGUGUAGCGGUGAAAUGCGUAGAUAUCGUAAGGAAGACCAGUGGCGAAGGCGGGUCUCUGGACAGUUCCUGACGCUGAGGCACGAAGGUCAGGGGAGCAAACGGGG
rnacentral:rRNA from 1 species